UACGUAGGGUGCGAGCGUUAAUCGGAAUUACUGGGCGUAAAGCGUGCGUAGGCGGUUCGUUAUGUCUGCUGUGAAAUCCCCGGGCUCAACCUGGGAAUGGCAGUGGAAACUGGCGGGCUUGAGUGUGGCAGGAGGGGGGUGGAAUUCCGCGUGUAGCAGUGAAAUGCGUAGAUAUGCGGAGGAACACCGAUGGCGAAGGCAAUCCCCUGGGCCUGUACUGACGCUCAUGCACGAAAGCGUGGGGAGCAAACAGG
rnacentral:rRNA from 1 species